rnacentral:tRNA from 1 species
GCCCGCGUAGCUCAGUGGAUAGAGCAACGGUUUUCUAAACCGUCGGUCGCAGGUUCGAUCCCUGCCGCGGGCA